GACGAACGCUGGCGGCAUGCCUAAUACAUGCAAGUCGAGCGAACAGAUGAAGUGCUUGCACCUCUGACGUUAGCGGCGAACGGGUGAGUAACACGUAAGGAAUCUACCUAUAAGCGGGGGAUAACAUUCGGAAACGGGUGCUAAUACCGCAUAAUAUCUUCUUCCGCAUGGAAGAAGAUUGAAAGACGGCUCUGCUGUCACUUAUAGAUGACCUUGCGGUGCAUUAGUUAGUUGGUGGGGUAAUGGCCUACCAAGACGAUGAUGCAUAGCCGACCUGAGAAGGUGAUCGGCCACAUUGGGACUGAGACACGGCCCAAACUCCUACGGGAGGCAGCAGUAGGGAAUCUUCCGCAAUGGGCGAAAGCCUGACGGAGCAAUGCCGCGUGAGUGAAGAAGGCCUUCGGGUCGUAAAACUCUGUUAUAAGAGAAGAACAAAUUGUAGAGUAACUGCUACAGUCUUGACGGUAUCUUAUCAGAAAGCCACGGCUAACUACGUGCCAGCAGCCGCGGUAA
rnacentral:rRNA from 1 species